GUGCAAAGGUAGCAUAAUCAUUAGUUUUUUAAUUGAAAGCUUGUAUGAAUGGUUUGACAAAGUAUUUACUGUCUUAAUAAAAAUUAAUUUAGAACUUUAUUUUUUAAUUAAAAAGUUAAAAUAAUAUUGGAGGACGAGAAGACCCUAUAGAUCUUUAUAAUUAUUUUUAUUUUUAUUUAUUUAGAAAAUUUUAAUAAUUUUAUUAAUAAUUAUUUUAUUGGGG
rnacentral:rRNA from 1 species